UAUCGUACAACGGAGGUGCGAGGGCUGUCGCUGACCUUCAAAGGUCGUGCACGCCCGAGCGCUUUCACACAAUCCAUCUCACCCCUUUGUGCAUCACCGCGUGGGUCCCCCCCUUUGCGGGGGGAGGGCUUGCGUUUUCACAUAAAACUUGAUACGGUGUAGAAUGUCUUUAUUUGCGAUCACACGCAAUCAAUACAACUUUCAACAACGGAUCUCUUGGCUCUCGCAUCGAUGAAGAACGCAGCGAAAUGCGAUACGUAAUGUGAAUUGCAGAAUUCAGUGAAUCAUCGAAUCUUUGAACGCACCUUGCGCCCCUUGGCAUUCCGAGGGGCACACCCGUUUGAGUGUCGUGAAAUCCUCAAAAACCCUUUUCUCUUCGGGAAAGGGGAUUUUUGGACUUGGAGGUUCAAUGCUCGCUUUCAGUUUUGAAAGUGAGCUCCUCUCAAAUGAAUUAGUGGGGUCUGCUUUGCUGAUCCUUGACGUGAUAAGAUUUUUCUACGUUUUGGAUUUGGCACUGUCCCUUGGACGCCUGCUUCUAAUCGUCUCAUGGACAAUGAUGGUGCCCUGGUCACCGCCAUGUACAUUGGCGGGGGAGGCUGGAACCAUGAAAUAAAACCUUGACCUCAAAUCGGGUGAGACUACCCGCUGAACUUAAGCAUAUCAAUAAGCGGAGGAA
rnacentral:rRNA from 1 species